UACGUAGGGUGCAAGCGUUGUCCGGAAUUAUUGGGCGUAAAGAGCGUGUAGGCGGCCUGAAAGGUCAGCUGUGAAAACUCGAGGCUCAACCUCGAGACGUCGGUUGAAACCAUCUGGCUAGAGUCCGGAAGAGGAGUGUGGAAUUCCCGGUGUAGCGGUGAAAUGCGUAGAUAUAGGGAAGAACACCAAUAAAGGCGAAGGCAGUUAACUAUUCUAUUCCUGACAUUGAGGCAUGAAAGCGUGGGGAGCAAAACGG
rnacentral:rRNA from 1 species